UCCUUGAUGGUCUAGUGGUUAUGAUUUCCGCUUGUCAUGGUAUUAUCCAUACAAGCGCGGGAGACCAGGGUUCGAUUCCCUGUCAGGGAG